GGAGCAGUUGGUAGCUCAGUGGUUGAGUGCAUGCUUUGUGUGACGUCCUGGGUUCAAAUCCCAGCUGCUCCC
rnacentral:tRNA from 1 species